UACGUAGGUGGCAAGCGUUGUCCGGAUUUACUGGGCGUAAAGAGCUCGUAGGCGGUCUGUUGCGUCUGCUGUGAAAACUCGGGGCUUAACCCCGAGCCUGCAGUGGAUACGGGCAGACUAGAGGUAGGUAGGGGAGAAUGGAAUUCCCGGUGUAGCGGUGAAAUGCGCAGAUAUCGGGAGGAACACCGGUGGCGAAGGCGGUUCUCUGGGCCUUACCUGACGCUAAGGAGCGGAAGCGUGGGGAGCGAACAGG
rnacentral:rRNA from 1 species